rnacentral:rRNA from 1 species
GCCAGCGUAAGCUGCGAGGAAGGUGGGGAUGACGUCCAAAUCAGCACGGCCCUUACGUCCAGGGCUACACACGUGUUACAAUGGCCGGUACAGAGGGCAGCCACCCCGCGAGGGGGCGCGAAUCCCGAAAGCCGGUCCCAGUUCGGAUCGGAGUCUGCAACCCGACUCCGUGAAGCUGGAUUCGCUAGUAAUCGCGCAUCAGCCACGGCGCGGUGAAUACGUUCCCGGGCCUU